UACAAUCAUAUCACGUUGAAACACCGGUUCCCUUACGAUCACCGAAGUUAAGCAACGUCGAACCUGGUCAGUAUCUAAAUGAGUGUCCGUUUGGGAAUACUAGAUGCUGUA